rnacentral:rRNA from 1 species
GAUGAACGCUGGCGGCGUGCCUAAUACAUGCAAGUCGAGCGAACAGACGAGGAGCUUGCUCCUCUGACGUUAGCGGCGGACGGGUGAGUAACACGUGGAUAACCUACCUAUAAGACUGGGAUAACUUCGGGAAACCGGAGCUAAUACCGGAUAAUAUAUUGAACCGCAUGGUUCAAUAGUGAAAGACGGUUUUGCUGUCACUUAUAGAUGGAUCCGCGCCGCAUUAGCUAGUUGGUAAGGUAACGGCUUACCAAGGCGACGAUGCGUAGCCGACCUGAGAGGGUGAUCGGCCACACUGGAACUGAGACACGGUCCAGACUCCUACGGGAGGCAGCAGUAGGGAAUCUUCCGCAAUGGGCGAAAGCCUGACGGAGCAACGCCGCGGGAGUGAUGAAGGUCUGCGGAUCGUAAAACUCUGUUAUUAGGGAAGAACAAAUGUGUAAGUAACUAUGCACGUCUGGACGGUACCUAAUCAGAAAGCCACGGCGAACUACGU